UACGGGGGGGGCAAGCGUUGUUCGGAAUUACUGGGCGUAAAGGGCGCGUAGGCGGCCUGCUAAGUCGGACGUGAAAUCCCUCGGCUUAACCGGGGAACUGCAUCUGAUACUGGAUGGCUUGAGUUCGGGAGAGGGAUACGGAAUUCCAGGUGUAGCGGUGAAAUGCGUAGAUAUCUGGAGGAACACCGGUGGCGAAGGCGGCAUCCUGGACCGACGACUGACGCUGAGGAGCGAAAGCCAGGGGAGCCAAAGCGGG
rnacentral:rRNA from 1 species